rnacentral:rRNA from 1 species
AAUCAACGCUGGCGGCGUGCCUCAGACAUGCAAGUCGAACGCGAAAGUCCCUUCGGGGGACAAGUAGAGUGGCGCACGGGUGAGUAACACGUAGGUAAUCUACCUUCGGAUGGGGAAUAACAACCGGAAACGGUUGCUAAUACCGCAUAAUGCAGCGGCACCUAAUGGUGACAGUUGUUAAAGCGGGGGAUCGAAAGACCUCGCGUCUGAAGAGGAGCCUGCGGCGGAUUAGCUAGNGGUAAGGUAAUGGCUUACCAAGGCGACGAUCCGUAGCCGGCCUGAGAGGGCGGUCGGCCACACUGACACUGACAUACGGGUCAGACUCCUACGGGAGGCAGCAGUCGGGAAUUUUGGGCAAUGGGCGAAAGCCUGACCCAGCAACGCCGCGUGAA